UUGUGGAGAUGCUCGUGGGGUCCACCGU
rnacentral:sRNA from 1 species